rnacentral:lncRNA from 1 species
GUAAGAGGUUGUAUCGCUGGUGUAAGUGUCUUCUUAGUCCUAGGUAAGCCAACCCGAGUAACACUGGUAAUCUAUGCCAUAGAUCAAACUUGUCCAAAAGAUGUACCACCUGACAUAUCAAAAACAGGAGCAUCAGUAAAAAUAACAUUCUAGUUUGUAAAGCAUAAUAUCACAUGGUAAAAGAAGGGAACAGAGAAAACUAACAUAGAACAAGAUUGUGUCAAAGAGAGACAUCUUCGCUACAACAUGCCGGAGUUGAGGGUGAAUAAAGGCUGCAAGAGAAAAUGAGAAUGCCAUGAGAGUUUCUCAGCUGUUGACCUGUCAAUGAAACAAAGGAUUACUUCAAGAGGUUGGUUAUGAAGAUUGAGAGGGAAGAUAGCAUUUAAAAGAGUUGAACCAGUGUCAAACCUGUCCUGUUUCCUGUCUUCAAUUACUCAUAUCUGUAGGCCCAAUCAAGAUUGAUGCAAUCAACUGUCUUCAAUUAAUCUUUUUUAUAUUAUAAUGACGCAAAUCGAAGACAAGUGUCCAAUAGCUCGUUAUGGUGAUAUCUUAAUGAGCUUGGGAACUAUGACCAAAAUUUUGGAACUGAUGAGAAACAUAUGUAUAGUGAUUAUUUAAUUUGACGAGGAUUAAUUACCAGUAAACAGCCAAAAGGCCCUUUUUUGAAGGUUAGAAUUAGCUAGGACAUAACAUCAGAAACAUUCUUUUCGUCCUUCAUAUUCAGAGUAGCUAACUAUCCAUAAAUGAUACUCUUAAAUUCCAACAUCUGAUCAAAUAUUAUACUCCCAUAUCCUUCUCUAUCCCCUUUAAAGCAAAACAAUAACAAUUUAUGUGCUUAGAUUUGAACUAUGUAUACAUACAAAAAAAAUAAAAUAAACAUAUAUACUAAGAUCACAUUUACUGAAACCCACUAACUCUAUAUACAAAGGCAGAUGUAGCACGCGAGCAGUGGGUUCAACUGAACCCAGUACUUUGCACGAAAAGAGUAUAUUUAUAUGUAAAAAUUUAUAAAAAUUGCAACAAAUAGGAGGUCUGAACCCAUAAUUUUGAACAUAUAGUACGUUCAAUGCUAGAAAAACUUAAAGAUUGACCCAUAAAACUUAUAUACUAAAUCCGUCUCUGUCAAUGUACUAGAUUCUCCUCUGCUCUCAAAGAAAAAAUUAAAGGACAAACUUUCUAAGAGUGAUGCCAAGUAGUUGGUAAAGAAUUUCAUAGCAAAUUAAUUACCUCCAAACUAACGAACCAGUUGAAGAAUAAGUAAAGCCAGCAUCAGCUUCUUGCUCUAGGAAAUGUGAUGCAAGAAAUUGGUAAAGUGGAAAGCAACAUCUAUAUAUCUGUCUACUUUUUCUAAAGCCUUUUCGAGCAUUAUUUGAUCUAUUGAUGUUCACACAUUAUUUUGGGAACAGUAACUUCGUAUGAGAUUCAAAGAAGCUGAAGUGACGCUUUCAUAACACGUCCACAAUAUUCCAAAUUAACUAAACCCCAUUGUAUGAAUUUCGUUGGGUCUCUUUCUUGUUUCCCUCUUCUCAGGCGGUAGUUGUUUAAUUUGGCAAUAUUAAUGUGAACUAGAUUAAAUAUUUG